rnacentral:lncRNA from 1 species
CCCCUGGUGAAGGGAGCCAAGCACCCUGAAAUCUGGAAGGGUUUUCCUGGCUACACAAGCUGGGCACCUCGGGUGAAGUGGGAUGUCUCAAAGCCAAGCUAUUUUCUAGCAUGGGAAAGGAGGAACAGUUACUGCUCCUAACUACAGUUAUUUAACGGCUGCCAGGGCUUCAGCAUCUGCCUGGAUUAAUCUGGAUUUUGUGGUGGGCAGCAGCCAUUCAGCCCAAGUGCCUGGCAUUACAGUCCUGGUGGAUUUUGGAGGUGAAAAGCCCAGAGUCCUUCACGGGGGUUUCUGCCAAGCUGUAAAGCUCAUCCUGGUUCUCCAUGCUGCUGGAAAACCUGGUGGAGCUCUUCCUCCUUGA